CUCUGUCUCUCUUGCUACCACCCCUUGCUCUCUUCCCUCAUACUGUGUCUGUUUGGCUUCAGGUACUUCUUGAGUCAUGCUAUUUAGCCAGCGUCUGCCUGUUUUCAACCUUAUGUUACUCUGGCAUCAUCUGGGCUGUUGUGUGGUCUUUUUUUAGAAAAAUAUUUUAUUUAUUUCUGUAAUUUGUAUUUAUCAGUGCUCUGACUUCAUGCAUGCCUACAUGCCAGAAGAGGGUAUCAGAUUUCAUUACAGAUGGUUGUAAGCCACCAUGUGGUUGCUGGGAAAUGAACUCAGGACCUCUGGAUGAGCAGCCAGUGCUCUUAACCUCUGAGCCAUCUCUCCAGCCCAUGUGUGGUCUUAACAACUCCAAAUUCCUGCCCUCAGUAAUCGAGUGUGACUUGAGUGAGGCAUUUAGACACUUCGACACUUCGAGACCUUGG
rnacentral:lncRNA from 1 species